UAUUUCUUCCUCCAAGUGAUCUUUGGAUCCACUUCUCCUGUUCUCUGAAUUAUUUAGCAGGAUAGCUUUGAUAUGCUUUCUAGAACUUCAAGGUAGACCUGCUCAAGGGGCCCUGGAGGCUCCUUAAAACUUGCUGAGAGUUAAAGCAUGUACUAAACAAACCAUAUACAAUAAAAAAUAAUGGGCAUCUCAGCUGCUAAGAAAAUAAAAAUACACCACAUAUUAAUUAUAUUUAGAAAAUUUGACUACCACCUCUGUUGAUUUGGAAAUUCAUGAUGGAACUACUUAAUUGUCUUAAUGAAUAUCUCUACUGAUCGUCACCUUCUGAGUGCUUUUGAGUAUCAGCAAGGGGCAUUUCUGACAUUACUUCUAAUUAAAGUACAUGCGUUAUAUUAGCUAUCUAUUGUUGUGUAGCAAUCUUAUCACAAACUUAGCAGUUUAAAUCAAUACACAUUUAUCAACUCAGUUUCUGUGGGUCAGGAAUUUGAACAUAGCUUAGCUCUUUCCUUUUCUGAGGUUUGUAUAAACCUAUAAUCUAGGUCCUGGUUGGGGCUGUGGUCAUGUCUGAUAUGUAAUGUAAUUACAUAUAUUCAAUCACCUUUAUCGUAUUGUAUUUUUUGUAAGGAAGCUACAGGUCUCACUUCAAUCAAAAGGAAAGGAUCAUACAAGGACAUGAAUACCAAAAAUUUGGGACAUGGGAACCAUCAAAUGUCUGCCAUGCUUAGGCUACAGACACGAAUCUUAGAAGGCAUCAAGUGGUCCUAAAGAAGCUGGUAUAUUUUAUGUGUUUGUAUUUGAUGAACUCUUAAGUGUGCUCAGCAACUUUAUGCUCCUUCAGGAUAUGCUUCAUGGAAUAAAGGUAAGCAUUAGUUGAUCUUAAGAAGGAUGAUAAACAUCAAUAAUCAUGGUACGUUAUUUAAAUAAUUCCUGUAGAAAAUACUGUGCUAAACAUUUUUUUAAAACACCACACUUGGCCGGGCGCGGUGGCUCAAGCCUGUAAUCCCAGCACUUUGGGAGGC
rnacentral:lncRNA from 1 species